AUUGAACGUUGGCGGCAGGCCUAACACAUGCAAGUCGAGCGGUAGCACAGAGAGCUUGCUCUCGGGUGACGAGCGGCGGACGGGUGAGUAAUGUCUGGGAAACUGCCUGAUGGAGGGGGAUAACUACUGGAAACGGUAGCUAAUACCGCAUAACGUCGCAAGACCAAAGUGGGGGACCUUCGGGCCUCAUGCCAUCAGAUGUGCCCAGAUGGGAUUAGCUAGUAGGUGGGGUAACGGCUCACCUAGGCGACGAUCCCUAGCUGGUCUGAGAGGAUGACCAGCCACACUGGAACUGAGACACGGUCCAGACUCCUACGGGAGGCAGCAGUGGGGAAUAUUGCACAAUGGGCGCAAGCCUGAUGCAGCCAUGCCGCGUGUGUGAAGAAGGCCUUCGGGUUGUAAAGCACUUUCAGCGGGGAGGAAGGCGGUGAGGUUAAUAACCUCAUCGAUUGACGUUACCCGCAGAAGAAGCACCGGCUAACUCCGUGCCAGCAGCCGCGGUAAUACGGAGGGUGCAAGCGUUAAUCGGAAUUACUGGGCGUAAAGCGCACGCAGGCGGUCUGUCAAGUCGGAUGUGAAAUCCCCGGGCUCAACCUGGGAACUGCAUUCGAAACUGGCAGGCUAGAGUCUUGUAGAGGGGGGUAGAAUUCCAGGUGUAGCGGUGAAAUGCGUAGAGAUCUGGAGGAAUACCGGUGGCGAAGGCGGCCCCCUGGACAAAGACUGACGCUCAGGUGCGAAAGCGUGGGGAGCAAACAGGAUUAGAUACCCUGGUAGUCCACGCCGUAAACGAUGUCGAUUUGGAGGUUGUGCCCUUGAGGCGUGGCUUCCGGAGCUAACGCGUUAAAUCGACCGCCUGGGGAGUACGGCCGCAAGGUUAAAACUCAAAUGAAUUGACGGGGGCCCGCACAAGCGGUGGAGCAUGUGGUUUAAUUCGAUGCAACGCGAAGAACCUUACCUGGUCUUGACAUCCACAGAACUUUCCAGAGAUGGAUUGGUGCCUUCGGGAACUGUGAGACAGGUGCUGCAUGGCUGUCGUCAGCUCGUGUUGUGAAAUGUUGGGUUAAGUCCCGCAACGAGCGCAACCCUUAUCCUUUGUUGCCAGCGGUUAGGCCGGGAACUCAAAGGAGACUGCCAGUGAUAAACUGGAGGAAGGUGGGGAUGACGUCAAGUCAUCAUGGCCCUUACGACCAGGGCUACACACGUGCUACAAUGGCAUAUACAAAGAGAAGCGACCUCGCGAGAGCAAGCGGACCUCAUAAAGUAUGUCGUAGUCCGGAUUGGAGUCUGCAACUCGACUCCAUGAAGUCGGAAUCGCUAGUAAUCGUAGAUCAGAAUGCUACGGUGAAUACGUUCCCGGGCCU
rnacentral:rRNA from 1 species